AGUAGCCUGUGGAAUAUAUUUUGGCAGUCGUCAAAGGUCUGAACCCACAUACCUCAUUACACCUUGAGUUAUUCAGAGCACCAGACCUAAAUUGGAUAGUUUUAUGUUUUCCGGCUUUUUUGUAUUUCGGUGUGAGUUUGUGAGUUUGUAACCGGUCCAAAUUUUAAGUUGUGUUUUAAGUUUUUGUUGGACAAGUCGCUGCCAUGUUUUACCAUGUAUCCGAACGAGAUCAGUGCAUCAUCCAGGAAUACCAAAGAUGCCCCACAAGCGAUGUCCUCCAAUGGUAGUGUUGCGGUGGACGGCGUAAGUUGCGGUUGCUCCAAUGGAUCUGGCCGGAACUGCGGUUGUUCCAACUGCCAGAAGAGGCAUCCGCGAAACGAGCGGAGGACAUAAGGCUAUCCGUGUAUUUUUGGAUCACCACGGUGGUUAGGAAAUCGCGUUGCUCAGGGACCCGCUAAUCCUGGCCACCGCAAAAAUUAACUUUUCGACUAACACAUUUUUGUGGAGCUAUUAUUGGAUUCAGAUUAUAAUAGCUCACAUAUGCUGGGAUACCCAACACUGGGAUAUCCUAUACUUGGAUACCAUAUACCUUGGUACACACACUAUACAUUGGUAACCUAUACUUUGGAACCCUAGACUUUGGUUCUCUAGACGUCGGUACCCCAUACUUUGUUACCCUCGAGUUGGAUACCUUCACUUGGAUACCCUACACUUGAAUACCCUACACUUGGAUACCCUACCCUUGGAUACCCUACACUCGGAUACCCCACAGCUUGGAUACCCCAAAUACGGAUAACGAUUGACUUGGAUUCGAAAUAUAUAGGAUAGGUUUAUAGGAUUACUUGAAUAUCCUAAACUUGGAUACCCCAUAUUUGACUGUUAUUAGGACUGCUGUUCCCAGACUCAAGAAGGAAUCGAUGAUUUAAAACGUUUGUGAACGUUGAUUAAUUAAAGACAAUAAUACGAGCCAAA